rnacentral:rRNA from 1 species
CUUGCUUCUCUUGAGAGCGGCGGACGGGUGAGUAAUGCCUAGGAAUCUGCCUGGUAGUGGGGGAUAACGUUCGGAAACGGACGCUAAUACCGCAUACGUCCUACGGGAGAAAGCAGGGGACCUUCGGGCCUUGCGCUAUCAGAUGAGCCUAGGUCGGAUUAGCUAGUUGGUGGGGUAAUGGCUCACCAAGGCGACGAUCCGUAACUGGUCUGAGAGGAUGAUCAGUCACACUGGAACUGAGACACGGUCCAGACUCCUACGGGAGGCAGCAGUGGGGAAUAUUGGACAAUGGGCGAAAGCCUGAUCCAGCCAUGCCGCGUGUGUGAAGAAGGUCUUCGGAUUGUAAAGCACUUUAAGUUGGGAGGAAGGGUUGUAGAUUAAUACUCUGCAGCGGUUGACGUUACCGACAGAAUAAGCACCGGCUAACUCUGUGCCAGCAGCCGCGGUAAUACAGAGGGUGCAAAGCGUUAAUCGGAAUUACUGGGCGUAAAGCGCGCGUAGUGGUUUGUUAAGUUGGAUGUGAAAUCCCCGGGGCUCACCUGGGAACUG